rnacentral:tRNA from 1 species
GUAGCUCAGUUGGUAGAGCGCCUGCUUUGCAAGCAGGAUGUCGUCGGUUCGAAUCCGUUC